rnacentral:rRNA from 1 species
AUUGAACGCUGGCGGCAUGCCUUACACAUGCAAGUCGAACGGUAACAGGUCUUCGGAUGCUGACGAGUGGCGAACGGGUGCGUAAUACAUCGGAACGUGCCCGAUCGUGGGGGAUAACGAGGCGAAAGCUUUGCUAAUACCGCAUACGAUCUACGGAUGAAAGCGGGGGAUCUUCGGACCUCGCGCGGACGGAGCGGCCGAUGGCAGAUUAGGUAGUUGGUGGGAUAAAAGCUUACCAAGCCGACGAUCUGUAGCUGGUCUGAGAGGAUGAUCAGCCACACUGGGACUGAGACACGGCCCAGACUCCUACGGGAGGCAGCAGUGGGGAAUUUUGGACAAUGGGCGAAAGCCUGAUCCAGCCAUGCCGCGUGCAGGAUGAAGGCCUUCGGGUUGUAAACUGCUUUUGUACGGAACGAAAAGCCUCUUUCUAAUAAAGAGAGGUCAUGACGGUACCGUAAGAAUAAGCACCGGCUAACUACGUG